rnacentral:rRNA from 1 species
CUUGGUCAUUUAGAGGAAGUAAAAGUCGUAACAAGGUCUCCGUUGGUGAACCAGCGGAGGGAUCAUUACCGAGUUUACAACUCCCAAACCCCUGUGAACAUACCUAUCGUUGCUUCGGCGGAUCCGCCCCGGUGCCUUCGGGCCCGGACUCAGGCGCCCGCCGGGGGACCCAAACUCUUGUAUUUCUUCAGUAUCUUCUGAGUAAACAAGCAAAUAAAUUAAAACUUUCAACAACGGAUCUCUUGGUUCUGGCAUCGAUGAAGAACGCAGCGAAAUGCGAUAAGUAAUGUGAAUUGCAGAAUUCCGUGAAUCAUCGAAUCUUUGAACGCACAUUGCGCCCGCCAGUAUUCUGGCGGGCAUGCCUGUUCGAGCGUCAUUUCAACCCUCAAGCCCCCGGGCUUGGUGUUGGGGCUCGGCCCGUCCCUAGCGGCGCGCCGUCCCCGAAAUCUAGUGGCGGUCACGCUGUACUCCUCUGCGUAGUAAUCUAACCUCGCAACGGGACAAAGCGCGGCCACGCCGUUAAACCCCCAACUUCUGAAGGUUGACCUCGGAUCAGGUAGGAAUACCCGCUGAACUUAAGCAUAUCAAUAAGCGGAGGAA